GUCCGCGUAGAGUAGUGGUCAUCUCGCCAGAAUCACAAUCCUUAUUUCCCCGUUGAAUAAUCGAUGGGAGGAGUAGAGUUUGUAGAACUCUGGAUAUCGUCGGUUCGAACCCGACCGCGGGCA